GGUUGAUCCUGCCAGUAGUCAUAUGCUUGUCUCAAAGAUUAAGCCAUGCAUGUCUAAGUAUAAGCCCUUGUACGGCGAAACUGCGAAUGGCUCAUUAAAACAGUUAUCGUUUAUUUGGUAAUCAUCUACUACAAGGAUAACUGUAGUAAUUCUAGAGCUAAUACUUGCGUAAGCUCCGACUUCUCGGAAGGAGUGGCAUUUAUUAGAUACAAACCAAUCGGGAGUUCACUCCCGCACCUUGGUGAUUCAUAAUAACUAAGCGGAUCGCAUGGUUUACCCCAGCGAUAGGCCUU
rnacentral:rRNA from 1 species